rnacentral:rRNA from 1 species
UACGUAGGGUGCGAGCGUUAAUCGGAAUUACUGGGCGUAAAGCGUGCGCAGGCGGUUAGAUAAGUCAGAUGUGAAAUCCCCGGGCUCAACCUGGGAACUGCGUUUGAAACUAUCUGACUAGAGUAUAGGAGAGGGGGGUAGAACUCCACGUGUAGCAGUGAAAUGCGUAGAGAUGUGGAGGAAUACCGAUGGCGAAGGCAGCCCCCUGGCCUAAUACUGACGCUCAUGCACGAAAGCGUGGGGAGCAAACAGG